rnacentral:lncRNA from 1 species
GCGCCAGCCGCGAAUCGGAUCUCUAUGGAGAUGGCCUAGCGAUAUCCCUGAGCUGAGAGCAUCACCCUGUCCCCGAAUCCUUCUUUCCUCUCUGUUUUGUUUUUCAUUCCCCUCCCUCUCUCCCCUCCCCCUCCAGUCCACGACGACUGGCUGUUGACCCUGUUCAGGCCUCGGUGAAGGCUUUUGGUUACUCCCCUUCCCACCCCAUCCCUUAAUUUUAUUCUUUUGAAGAGUGCAUUUCAAGCUGCCAAGGUGAAGAGAGGGAUUACAGAAAGGAGAACACCUUAUUUCAGGUCUCAAAAAGCGAUUCUGUCCCCAUCUUACUUUCUGGUAGGCUCCUAUUUGCUUCAACACUUUGACUUGUAGGCAUAUUCUCAGUUUGGGUGUGGUGGCGUGUACCUGUGGCCCUGGCUACUCAGAAGGCUGAAGAAGGAGGAUCCCUUGAGCCUGAGAGUUUGAAGCACAAGAACCAUCAAUCAGCACAGAAGACUUCUGUGACCCCAAACUAUGUGGGGAUUUCUCCCUAGCAACAAGCAAGCAAUCAGUUUGGCAACAAACACUGACUGGAUGUCUUCCAAUUCAAUUCCAACACUAUCUACCUGGAAAUAGUGUCUGAUCCCACAGGGUAAGGGCUCAGCCCCCCAAAGAUUGUCCUCUUUCCCUCUCCCAACACUGCUAGACACCAGUCACAGGUCUGGGGCCUCUGGAACUUCUGACAACUGGCUUCAAGUUGGGGUUCCCACAAUCCCUCUUGGGGUUCAAUUAAUUUGCUAUAGUGACUCACAGAACUCAGGGAAACAUGUUUACCAAUUUAUUUUAUUACAAAGGAUACAGAUGAAGAGAUGCUCAGGGUGAGGUAUGGGGGAAGGGGCACAGAACUCCCAUGCCCUCCCUGGGCGAGCUGCCCUCCAGGAACUUGCAUGUGUUCAGCUAUCCAGAAGCUCUCUAAAUCCAGUCAUCCUGGCUUUUUAUAGAAGCUUCAUGACGUUAGCAUUCCUUCCCCCAGGGUAUGGGAUGGGACCCUCUCUGGAAUGGUGGUCUUAUGACCCACAAUCAGAUUACAGACCUGCCUUGGGGCAGGUGAAAGGAACACUGGAGAAAGUCAGAGAGGCCUAACAUACCAACAUUGUAACAAAAGACUGUAACAAGGACUCUGGGAGUUAUGAGCCAGGAAUCGUAGAUGGAAACCUAUACAUAUGUGUGUAUUUAUAUCUAUUACCACAUCAAGGAAAGGUUUCACACACUGGUAUGAAACUGGAAAUAAUUAACAGGAGAAAACUUGGAAAGUUUGCAAGUAUGUGGAAUUAACACUCCUGAACAACCAAUGGGUCAAAGAAGAAAUCAGAAAUAUCUUAAGACAAAUGAAAAUGGAAACACAACAUACCGAAAUUUAUGGGAUGUGGCUAGGUGCAGUGGCUCAUGCCUGUAAUCUCAGCAUUUUGGGAGGCCAAGACUGGCACAUCACUCGAGGUCAGGAGUUCAAGACUAGCCUGGCCAACAUGGUGAAACCCCCAUCUCUACUAAAAAUACAAAAAGUAGCCUGUACUAAAAAUCUGUACUAAAAAUAUAAAACAAUUAGCUGGGCGUGGUGGCGUAUGUCUGUAAUCUCAGCUACUCAGGAGGCUGAGACAGGAGGAUUGCUUGAAACCGGGAGGCAGAGGUUGCAGUGUGCCAAGAUCGCGCCUCUCCACUCCAGGCUGGGCGACAAAGCAAGACUUCGUCUCAAUCAAUCAAUCAAUCAAUGAGAGUGGAUGCAAUAUUAUCCCUAUAAUAAUAUUCUCAGUACCUUGCAUUCAUAUAUGCUUUUAUUACUUUGGCAAGCAAGGAACACUGGGUAUUGCACAUAACUUGAAGCCUGUUUAUCUCAGUUAAGUUGCUGCCAGUAAUCUUGGUCACCUUUCAGGAGUGUUACAGAUGAACAUCACCCAUUCUCUAACUUUAAUUUUUCUAAAUUAAAUGAAUUAUGAAAUAUAGUUGACCCUUGAACAAUGUGGAGGUUAGGGGUCAUCAACACAUCCCUCACUGCACAGUCAAAAAUCCACGUAUAACUUUUGGCUUCCCAAACACUUAACUACUAAUAGCCUACUGUUGACUUUACUGAUAAACCAUCUAUUAACACAUAUUUUGUAUGUUAUAUGUAUUAUAUGCUGUAUUUUUUAACAAUAAAGCAAGAAAAAAGGAAAUGGGCCGAGUGUGAUGGCUCACACCUGUUACCCCAACACUUUGGGAGGCUAAGGCGGGAGGAUUGCUUUAGGCCAGGAGUUCGAGAACAGCCUGGGCAAAAUAGUAAGAGUCCGUCUCUUAAAAAAAAGGUAAAAAAAAAAAUUUUUUUUUUUUGAAACAAGGUCUCGCUCUGUCACCCAGGCUGGAGUACAGUGGCACGAUCUCACCACAUGGCUCACCACAGCCUCAACCUCCUGGACUCAAGUGAUCCUCCCACCUCAGCCUCCCAAGUAGCUGGGACUACAGAUGCACGCCACUACACCCAGCUAAUUUUUAUUUUAUUUUAUUUUUUUCGUAGAGACAGGGUCUCACUAUGUUACUCAGGCUAG